CUAAUGUGGAUAUCCUGGGAGGUCACUCUCCCUGGGCUCUGUCCUAGUGGAGUAGGGGGGCAUAGGGCUCUGCCCCAUGACCUACAGUCCCUUUGCGCAAUGUUGGAGACGAAGCUGGGGUUUGAGUCUGCCCCUGCAUAUUCCCAUGACUUCUCAGAGUCCUGUGGACAAUGACUGGGGAGACAAACCACACAGAAAACAGAC
ensembl:snoRNA SNORA73 Small nucleolar RNA SNORA73 family